GGUAAGGAUGCCUAUUAUGAGAUAGGCGCUCAAUAUGAGAUAGCAAGGUAUUAGUCAAACUAUUCACGUCAGUCAUUUGGGCGCUAGUGUCGCGCGAUCAGCACAGCAACACCACUAAACGUCUGCCAGUGCGUGCCGGCCACCGGCGAUCGAAGUACGCGUGCGUGUAGUUAUUACAUUUUCGUAAAACAAAAAAUUUUUCGUCAAAUGUUUACAAGAUGCCUCCCAUCAAAAGGAAGACAUGGGACCAUAAUGACAUGAUACAAGCUGUGAAUGCAGUUCGAAGAAAUGAAAUGGGUUACUUAAGAGCUGCAAAACAAUUUAGUGUUCCUAAGGGUACCUACCCUAUUGAGCGCUAUGUAAAAAAAUAUGUCCGUGCAGAAGAUCUUGUCCAGGUCGUAUGGGUAGACGACCAGCCUUACCUAUAGAUUUAGAAGCCGAG
rnacentral:lncRNA from 1 species